rfam:Ovis aries breed Texel chromosome 6, whole genome shotgun sequence.
UCCUGGGUAGUUCAGUGGCUGGGACUCUGCACUUGCAAUGCAGAGGACCCAGGUUCAGUCCCUGGUGAGGAA